UGGAUGGUCGGAAUAAUGGCCGGAAUGCCUUCCUUCUCUUCUUCCUCUCCUCCUUUCUCUCUAUUUUUCUCUCUAUUUUUCUCUCUAUCUGUCGUUUUUCUUCUCAUUUUCUUUUCUUCUUUUUAUCCUAAACUGCCGAGCAACUGCCUGGAGUUGUUCGAGACUCCGAACGCCCGACCGGGCGAAAUUAGAAGGACCAAUCGCCCGACCGGGCGAUAUGCUUCUGCAUGGCUUCGCGGGAGACGCCCGACCGGGCGUUUAGUUGAAAUCAGAACGCCCGACCGGGCGAACUUUCUGGACUCCGCAUGCACAAAAUGGAAACGCCCGAUCGGGCGUUUAGCAACAUCAAAACGCCCGACCGGGCGAACUCUCUGGAAUCUCAGCUAUGCAUUUCCGACGAACUUCCAGCUUCUAACACCCGAAACUACACUCAAAGCACGACUUGGUGAGUUAUAAUUAACAUGAAAUCCGGGGUAAAGAAUAGGAAAUAAGCUUCGCAUCAAGAUACUCUUGGAACCGACUCGCUGGAUGCUUUCUUGUUGCUGCUGGUGUUGUACUGUCCGUUACAAGCGGAUCAGAACAGGAUCAAAUGCUCUCUGGAGUUGGAAUGAUAUGGCCAGCAAUGAUGAUAACUUCAACUGCAUUUCAAGCAGUUGCUUCUGUUCUUAAGGAAUCUGUUUUCAUUGAUGCUGCGACCCGUCUUAAGCUUCCAAAAUUGAAUCCCCUCAUGUUUUUCUUUUCAGUUUGAUUAAACGCUAUUUCAUAUUUAGUGUAUAAAAUAAAAAACUUUACUUGUUGAUCACUUGAUACAGGGAAAGCUGCUAGACAUAUUUAUGGUGAAUUCAUACGGAUCUGGAUUUCAGGUUCAUGAAACAAUAUGAUUAAGACAAUAUAAGGAAGUAGUAUGAGUGCCAUGCCCAUGGCUGAUGGGAAGGCUAUUCAGGCCGUGUUCCUGCAGACCGCUAAACCACCUUGGACUUCCUUACUAUUGAAAAAUACAUUGGGUUUACGUCUAGUCACGUGAAUGCAACUCAUUGAGUCAUUAACUAUAGCUCGACUGUAAAUUGAAUUGAACAUUUUAUUUUCUUUAUCUCAUUCUUCCUUUCACUUGUAGGCGCUUUUUGUACUCCUCUUUCCGCCAGUUUUGUCAAAUUUGGAGGGCAUACCAUUACCUGAACUGCCUUCAUACUUGAAAAGUGGUGCUGGUUGUUUCAUUAAUAUUGGAGCUGAUACAACAGGUUGUGAUGGAGCCUCACUACUACCUCUCCUCUACAUAAUAACCAAUAUUGCUUUCAACGUAUCGGCCUUCAAUCUUCUAAAAUAUUCAUCCGCUGUUGUAUCGUCCCUUGCUGUGAUGUCAUCAGUGCCAAUCUCAAUCUACAUUCUUUCACUUCCAUUACCAUACAUCCCAGGAGGUGUAACCUUGAGCCCCUUUUUCGUCAUGGGCAGCGUGGUUCUUAUGUUGGGGCUAAUCUUAUAUAACUUUUCCUGGCCUCUCAAGCAGGACUCAGACACCUCAUGACAAUGACUUUACUUGUGUCUAUAUUAUGUUGUAAUGUUUGUAUAGGUUGAUGGCUGAUUGUGGUUGGUUGUGGCUUAGGAUGUUCAAGGUUGUGCAUAUAUCGUGAGCAAUCAUCAAAAACUACUACGUCGACAUGCCUCCUGGGUAAGAUUUUGCACAUUUAACGUACUGGCCGCACCUUCAGAAUAAUAUGUACUACAAGAUUUCGCUUUCCGAGUAUUUAGUUGAAUUCAAAUUGUUUAUAGAACUUAUUGAGAUAAUUAGACAUACAUAUGUGAAUUGUGUAAGUUUACAAUUCAUAUAAGAAAAUAGUACUAGUAAAUAGGAAAA